AUCAUGUAGGGGACUUGUGGGGAAUGCUUUGGGUUGUCGUAUGCAAUCAUCCAAUUCAAUAACGUUAGGAAAAAUCUGAAGGUUAAUUUAAGCGGACCUAAUUAACUUGGGGCAUUGAGAAUUCAUGGGUUAUUGAAAAGCAAUUGGAAAUCGUUUUGAAUACAAGUCUAACAUGUGUGGAGAUGAACCCCUUAGCUAGCUUUCUAUCCAUUCAAUUCAAUCAAAUUCGUUUUAAAAUCUGUUUUGAUUUACAAGUUUAUGUUUUGUUUUCAAUUUCGUAAAAACCAAAUCCCCCUUUGUUUUCAGUGUCAAAUUAGUUAGAGAGUGUGUUAGUUUGUGUUUUUAAGUGUUUUGAGUCAAGGUAAAACCUAUUUUCGUCAAAAUCUUGUUUAGAGUUCAAAACUGCCCAGAAAGUGGUUUUAAGGCA
rnacentral:lncRNA from 1 species